rnacentral:rRNA from 1 species
ACACUCCUACGGGAGGCAGCAGUGGGGAAUAUUGCACAAUGGGCGCAAGCCUGAUGCAGCCAUGCCGCGUGUGUGAAGAAGGCCUUCGGGUUGUAAAGCACUUUCAGCGGGGAGGAAGGCAAUGCGGUUAAUAACCGUGUUGAUUGACGUUACCCGCAGAAGAAGCACCGGCUAACUCCGUGCCAGCAGCCGCGGUAAUACGGAGGGUGCAAGCGUUAAUCGGAAUUACUGGGCGUAAAGCGCACGCAGGCGGUCUGUCAAGUCGGAUGUGAAAUCCCCGGGCUCAACCUGGGAACUGCAUUCGAAACUGGCAGGCUUGAGUCUUGUAGAGGGGGGUAGAAUUCCAGGUGUAGCGGUGAAAUGCGUAGAGAUCUGGAGGAAUACCGGUGGCGAAGGCGGCCCCCUGGACAAAGACUGACGCUCAGGUGCGAAAGCGUGGGGAGCAAACAGGAUUAGAAACCCGAGUAGUCCCA